rnacentral:lncRNA from 1 species
CUGGCCUUAAGUUUCGCAUGUCCUAGUCCAAUCCUCAGCAGGCCGUCUUCUGCAUUGUUCUUCUCAUCUUUUGAUAAUGCAUUUUUCUCUACUUCUUGACUGUCGGAACGAGAAUCUAACAUCUUUCUAUUAAGGUCUAAUGUUGAUGUCUCUCUGUCUUUCUCGACUGGAUUUUGCUUGUCUGCACCUACAUUUUCCUUUUGCUGCCCCUUGUUCUUUCCAUCAUGUGGAGGAGAGAAGCUUUGUGGAAGUACCUCUCUGGAGAAGAGGGCUUGAAAAGCCAGUCGUCCCUGAAUAAGUAGUGAAGCCGUAUAGCGAUCAAUGUACAAUACAAUUAGAAUAAUAAUCAAGUUAAGAUAUAUAGGAAAAUUGACACAUCGACUCACCUCUUCAGAUACCUCCUUCCAAGAAUCACUAAGGUUACUGCUGCUUCUACUACGACGGUUACAUUCAACUUGUGGAUGAUUUGGAUCAGCUCCUUUUGGAUCUUCCUUGUCUUUUUCAAGUUUUUCUAACAUGUCUGUCUCUACCUCACUACUUGAAUUGGAACCACAUGAGGACCGGUCAACUUGUUUUCUGUUCUUCAUUUUAUCUACAUCCUGAGGCUCGAUCACUUCAGCAGCCUUCUCAUCAUCAGUAGCUUUCACUUCAGUAUUCGCUUUCGCAUCUACUCUCUCUUCACAGUCUGAUGAUGAUGAAGUAGGUGAUUUAGAUGCUGAAUGCUGACCUUGCAAAGCUUCAGAGUAUUCGGGGUCUAGUCGCUCAUCCUGAGUAGUUAGGGCUAGAUCAGUUUUAUCUUUUUGUUCCAUAUUUGCAGCUGGAGUUUGACCAUUCUCCAUUGGUGGAACUGCAGCAGUGGAUGCAGGAGCACAGGUAAAGCCUGUGUGCAGAGGAGCACAUACAGGAAGCAGUCCAUGGGCGGUCCACCAUGCAGUGGCAGCUGCUACUGUUGCAGCAGCAAUUGCGGCCAUAAUAGGAGCAGAGUUUGUUUGUGUAGAUGGGAAACCUCUUAGUUCAUUUGCGGGAGAAUCGCCAGAACUUUCAACAUUUGCAUAUGGCCAAAAUGUAGCUGCAAAACUUGCUGCAGCAUGAGCAGCUGGAUUCUGUAACAAAGUAGAUACAAUGAGAUUGGAAAAAGUGGAGGAGACAUGUAGAAAUGAUCGAUACUCCUCUUGAUCGGGCCGAAGAUGUAUAAAGGGAAUAUGAAAAGGUGGCAAUGCCUGAUGAGUAGAUUUUGGUGCAUUAUUCUGAUGUUCAGUAGUUGCCGAUGCAGCUGGAUUUACAAACAGGUUAGGUCCAUGAACAUCGCCCAUAGGGUGAAAUACAGAAUCUUGAAAUGACAUACCCAGGGAAGGAUUUUGAACACAUGUUCUAAGGCUUCCAUCUAGGACAUGCACAGCAACAUGCCGAGGAUAAUUUUGAGCAGCUUGCAUCUCAUCUGCACAAAAAGCACCAUCCAAAUCAUCUUUUCUCUGGCCUUGAGCUGAUUUCUCAUAUGAAGUGCAAGACUUCUCCAAGUUUGAAGCCUUACUUGUACCAUUAUCAUGAAAUAUCUGUUGGACAUUAAGUUUAUAAGGUUCACAAAUUUCUUUAAGUUCAAGAAUAGCAUAGAAUUCAUGUUUUUCAUGAUUUACUACCUCUUUUGGCAAAGGUACAAACUCCCUGAAUGUACAAGAGCUUUUGAGUGCUGCUGACAUUGGUAUAAAAUUCUUAUUCAUGGAAGACGCAGAGGAGCAGUUUUGUUCGUGGAGAAGGGUAAAAACCUCAGAGCAACUCUCGUCUUGAUUUUCUUUCAGAUUUGUAGCCUUUUCAUCUCCAGUAGGUCUCUGACAAACACAAUAUAUUUGAAGCUUACGUUAAAAAGAAGAAAAGAAAAAGAACAUAAUUAAGAGCAUGAAUAAAGUAGUUGAGGAGGAGAAAGAAACCUCUGGAAGUGGUUCUUUCUCCAAGUCCAACAUUUGCUUGCAACGCAAAGAAGAUAAUGGCAUUUCAGAUUUUCCAUCCUUAGCUCCCUCUUGUACUGUAGUAGCAGCACUGGUUUUUCGAGGAUAAGGAUUGCUUGGUUUUCUUUUAGGGCGUGGAGGUGGAAUCUCUAUGUCAAGAGCUUGACCUAUUGGUACACCUUUAGCAAGUGCCUCCUUCUCCAACUGAGAAUGGAUUAUUGUCAGUAGCAUCAAUAAAAUGAAAAUACAUAAGAGAAAUCUUACGAGUUUUUGGAGGCACCAAUGAAGCAUCAAUAUAAUAUUAACAACGUGCAACACUAAAAUUAAUGAUAGGAAUGACGUAACUAAAUGCAACAUGAUCAUAUCUAACCAGUAUAAUUCCAAAUCUUAUCAGGAAACAAGAAGUCCAAGUAUAUAAUUGCUCUACAAUCUACAAAUAUCUCACACAGGAGGUUCAUACAAAAUUUUAUACUCCUGUUGUCAAUUAAUAUGGCCUGUUUUAUAACAUUAGAUUAGAUUAGAUUCUUCUUUUAUCCUUUCAUCCCAUCACAUGUCUGCUCAAGACUCGUCAGCAAUAUAAUACUUGAAUGUAGCAGACAUAAACACAGCCCACAGUUGAACAUAUACAUAGACAAAGAUUGACUAAAUAAAAAAAGGGGGGCUGGUUUAGCCGAGCAGUCAGUUCUGCUCGGCUAAACCAACCCCCCAUUUUACUAGGAGAAGAGAGGAUUAGCUGUAUUUAGAUGAAAAGAAAAUUAUCAGUGGUUUCUUAAGAAACACAGUUUAGGUACUGCAUAAAUAAGAUUAAUCAAACCAUCCAUGAUGUUCAUUGUCAUGUAAAAUUGAGAUCAUUAAAGGUUAGGAUUUCAGACUGAAGAAAGUAUUUCAUAAAGCUUUAACCAUAAUAUUCUUGAACAACCUUCAUCUGCUUACUGUCCUGAUAAGAUUCAUCACUCACGAGCUAAUCGAGAUAAAAAUGUUAUGCAUGAAUUUGUUUGCGACAUCAGAAAUAUGAAAAGGAAAAAAAGAAGGAAGUAAUGCAUUACCAUGUACCUAACUUUAACAUAAUUGGCAGGUGACUGCCGAUAACCUGCAGGAAAUAAGUCUUUAAGAGAAGAAUCCAGUAAAAUCUUACUUUUACUGAAGAUGUAUACUUAAGGAGGAUAAUCGCUUAAGACAGACCUAUAGGAUGCAUACCUCAAAUCUAACAUCAUAAUUAGUAGCUACAAGGCACAUCUAACAGACAUGCUGCUGUGAGCUUGGCUGCAAAACUUAAGGUACUAUGGGGAAGAUUGAUCCCAGUAUGAUCACCUAGAAGGUAUAAUAUAGUUUCAAUUAGGACUUAUCUUUCUGAUUAAAAGAAAAAUAUGCAGAUCAGAAUUUUAUGUUCCACAUUACCAGGAAAGGAUAUUAGUAGUAUCAUAAAUGAUAACAUCUAUAUAGAAGGUAUGAUCCUUAAGCAUAAAUGAGUACCUAUCUUGCAUUUCAAGCUCUCCCAAUUCCCAGAAAUGGAAGAAAGAAAAAUAAAAUUCAUUUUUUAGAUCUAACGAGUAUCUGGCUCACACCAGCAAUAUGGCUAAUGUUUAAAGAGAUUUCUCAUCAGUAAUCUAAAGUUCUAAACACAUCAACAAAGUCUAGAAUUCAACAAAUUCGUGUCAUCCCUGCUAGUACUACUACUCAUCAUAUCCACUCUAAUGUUAGAUAAGAUCAUUUGGUAUUAUGAGAUCAACAUCUUCAACAGCCAUAAACUAAGUAGAUAUAAGCCCUAAACUUCCACCACAUAAAGGAGAUUAUAAGCCCUAAACUUCCACCACAUAAAGGAGAUAAUAAAAAGUAGGUAAUAAAAUGCAAAAAAGAUAUAAGCCCUUGAAAUAUUGUCUUGAAAGGAUGUGAAACUUGCCACUAUAAAAGCUUUUAACAAAAAAAUGAUCCUAAAAUCAAAAGCUAGAAGCUAUCAAAUUUACUCUAACUGCAGAUUCCUUGUCAACCUUGGAUGCUGAUGAAUUGAACUAUUAGCAACCUUGAGAUACUCUACACAUUAAGGAUACAGUAAGCGGUAAUCCUAACUUGCAAUGACUAGCAUACUGCCCAUGGAUGCUGAAGAUUUCAGUUUAAACCAGAACCAAAAUCUAGCCAUAUAAUAUAGCAACGAAGAACAUGAUAGGUGGGCUCACCCCAAAUUCACUUCCUAGUUCUAUACCUCAUAAUGGUGUAUUUUUACUUUGUAUACAAACUCACUUCUUAGUUCUUACUAUACGUCAUAAUGGUGUGUUUUCACUCUCUAUACAAAUUUAGACUACAUGUAUCUACAUGACCCUUUUAUCCGAAGAAACCAAAUAUAUUAACUUUCAAAACCUCUGCUGUGGUAGGUUAAGUACUAAAUUGCUUCAGCAAGUUCAAAAGUGACCAGACAAGAGGAUGCCUUGCACAUAAAAGGUUAGUGAAAGGCAUAUUAGAAAGAAACCUUUUAUGACAACUUAAAAAACCAAAAAUGCCCUUUUUUAUUUCGGACUCCAAGGAUGAUAAACCAUCUUGCGCAGCCAAUUUCAUACAGAGACCAAAUAAAUAGAAUUCAAAUAGCUUACAUCUCCAAAAUCAUAUUUGUAGAGAAGAUAAAAGGCUAUCACCCUAAAUAUGGUUUAAAUAUUUAGCAGCUCAGAUUCUCAUUUAACUCAAGUUGCUGCCUUUUCUAUAUAUAUUAAUAAACAAACUCCAGUGUACUUCUUUACAUAAUUGGUUAUAAUUUUGAUCGGUGAUAUAUGAUUGAUGUUUUUGACACAGAAAGCUAUACAUUCGCUUCAUAUAUUUUCUUUGUUGUUUUAAAUCUAACAAAUUUGUUUAUACAAGAGAGAAAAUAAAGUAAUAGAAUAAUCAGUAAGAUUUCCCAACCGUUCAAGAUAGUACAGUUGACGAUUCGAUAUUUCAUAUAUCUCAAGCAGAAACAAGAAUUAAGCAGCAGAAAAAAAAUACAUUAAACAUAGGCAUAAGCAUAAACAAGAAGGCACCAAAUGACCUUUGAAAAGAACUUUUGAGCAUGACUCCUGAUCUGCACAGCCGUCUUUGUUCCUAUAUAUUCUGCAAAUCACCAUGUAAAAACAAAAUGGAUAGAAAAUUACAACAAUAAAUAACAAAACUAUUCAUUUGUUGGUCCUAACAAACAUAUCCUACGUAUCUUAGCCUCAAUCCACAAAAACACUAACUCUAAAAUGAUAGCAGCAAAAUCUAAACUAAGAGGGAAAAAGCAAGUGAAAAAACCUUCAAUGCGUUGCCAAGCUCGUCCAUAGAGCUUCAAGGCCUCUAGGAACCUAUUAUGCUCUUCCUCGGUCCAUCUUUCACGUUGUUUCGUAAUAGUAUAAGGCUUCCUAGUCUAUCAUUUAACAUACAAAAUUCAAUGGUCCAAAUUAUAACAAACAGAAACCCCCAUUUUUUUACAAAGCUUCAUUUAAGAGAAGAGUUUACCUUAAUUACAAGUUCUUCACCAGAGGAGUAUGUGUCCAUUGAAACAGCGUCACCGCUGCUUCAAAUCCUCUCUAGCAAGCAAAGAGUAUAUCACAAACCUCCUUUCAUUUCUUCCAACAUCCAGUACGACAAAUAGUAAUGCCGUUUUUGAGCUCCACAAAACCUGAUGAAUGCUAUUUAAUACUGAAAAAAGAAAAAACACAAAAGAACAACAACAACAAAUCGAUGGAGAUCCGUCUCUGUUUCUAUUUUUAUUCCAAUUAAAUUAAUAUUAAUUUCUCAUCAUUUAAUAAAAAUAUUUACUUGAUAAAAAUUUGGGUGAAUGCUAAAUCUCUGGAAAAAUUAAAAUAAAAUAAAUAAAAAUUAAGUAUCCACCGUAACAAAGAGAAGAGACGGCUUCUUCCAAAGAACUUAAAGGAAAAUUCUCACCAAAACGAACCCGUAGACGCCAAAACCUUUAAUAGAAAAUGAUACGAAAAAAAAAAGAAACUUUAAUUAGUUAUCAACAACACACUUCCACUGUUCCACAUCCAAUCUAUCUAUUAACAGCCAAUAAUAGUUCUUUACCUCCUUUUUGGUUGCCGAGAGAAAAAACAAAAGGAUUCAAAUUCAAUCACUUUUCUUUCGUUUCUCUACUCAGCUGCAUAUAAAGAACACAACUUCCAAACUCAGCUUAGCAAAGCCUUUAAGGAAAGCCCUAGAAAUGAAGUGUAAAUACCUUAAAGAGAUAACCAUGGAAGAUGACAACAAUGGAAGCAACGAUCACGUAUCAAAAAUGGGUUCACCGGAAACCAGCCGGAGAGCUCAUAGUUUCCGGCAAUGACAAGAUCGGAAUCAACAGAAUUGGAAAAAGAAAAAUUGUCUUUUUUGGGAGAAAAGAACUUGAAUAAACCCAAAAAAAAAGUGAAAGCAAGCUUAUUUUCUGGUGAUAAACUAAAAAAACACCAGAAACUACAGUAUGGGGAAGAAACAAAAGGAGAAAUCUCAGCCACUACAAUUUCAAGAGGAUUUAUUUUUUGGAAAAUUACAAAAAUUGGGCAGAAAUUUAUUUGAGGCUAUAAAAGAAUGAACGGUAAGAUACAUUAGAUGUUGCCAAGUGGCAAUAAGUUAGUGGCUGAUUCAACUAAAAGCCCACCCUUGCACUUUUUCUCUUAUUUUUUUAUCUUUUUUUCUUUUUGCCCUUCUUGUUUCCUACCUUCAUCUUCAAAUAUCAGCCACAAGCUCCCAAUGGUCUUGGUGUUAAAUUAGUAAAAGCGCCUUUUGGUAUGCCACGUGGUUCCUGCCGUCAACGUUUAUGCGAUUCGUUGGCGUGGGUAACCGGUACGUGUCGGUUACAGGGGUAGCUUUGGUGUCAAAAGCCACCGGAUUUGUGACCAUUAGUCACUGUAUGCGGUGAUGAGAUUUUAGGGUUGCAACAAAUCUAGGGAUAUGCUAUGCUCCCCGUUUUCUUCUUUCGAUUUAGUUGCCAAUUUUUUUAGGUUAAAAUUUUCCAUAAAUCCUUGUAUUUUUUUAUAGAUUUGAAAUUUAAUUCCUGUAAUUUUAUUUUUAGGAAUUUAAUCAUUUUACUUUUCAUAUUUUUAAAUUCAGGUUUUACGGUUAACGUUGUUAAAAUUAUUUGUUAAAUUCAGGUUCAUUAUAAUAUUAUUUUUUUAGUUAAGUUGCUACCAAGUAAAUUUUUUUUAUUUCAAUAUGUAUUAUAAACCAAUUUAACAAAAAAAAUUGUAACAAUGUUAACAAUUAGACUUAAAUAAAUUUUAAAUUUGCGAAGAGUACAGGGACAUGACCUAUUUUAACCUUUUUUUAUUAAACUUGUGAGUUACAAUUUAAUUCCUAAAUUUGAAUUUCAUUAAAGUGUAUUGGCAUGUCACUCUAAUAUUAGGUCAUAUUGUCAUUUGAAAUUUUUAAAAACUUUAUAUGAUAUCUAAAGAAUGCAAAAGGUAAAAAUUAAAGAAAUUCAUGUGACGAUGUGAAAUAAUCUCAUAAUGUCACAUCAUUAUACUUUAACAAGAUCUAAGUUAAGAAAUUAAAUUGAGAAAAGCUAUCAAAUUUAGAGACUAAAGUGGAUAAAAAAAAUUGAAGGAUCAAGAUAAAAAUUUUAUCAAAUUUAAGGACUAAAUGUUGCUUUAUGAUUUUUUUUAUCUUUUUAAGAUAAGAGUAAACUAGAUUCUGAACUUCAUUUAAAAAGAUGAUGUAUCAUGUUUUGUCAUUAAUGACUCAUUCUAAAACAACGCCCCUAUUUAUUGUAAUGAUAUAUUAUUAUUCAGUGCCUUGAUGUCCUCCGCUAAUGGUUGGAGCCUCCAAUCGAUGGAACUUACAUCCUGCUCAAAACUCUUGCAUAAAGCUUUCAUGUUAGGUGCAGAGAUACCAAUAGUCAAUCCAAACCUCUUUGCCUCAAUCAUUGCUUCUCUUGUUACGAAUAAAAUAGCUUGCUUAGUGCUAACAAAGUGCUACAAGAACUUGUAAAUUUGAUUCCUUGAAUAUUAAAGAUUGUUAGAGACACCCCGAGGCAGAUAGUCCCUUUCUUCCAAGCUACCAAAGCAAUUCCCGAUAUGGUACCAUGAGGAACAUUCGAUCUAAUUGAUUUGCUCUGUUGUCCUUGGGAAUAUCUCUCCGCAGCAUUCUUCCAUUUCUUGCCCUCAAACACCUGUAUCCAUAGUCCUUGAAGAUUUCAAACUUUGUUGAUUACAUUUAAGGAUUAGCAUCAUAACCUUUAAAAUAGCAUUUAUUUCUAUGAAUCCGUAUAUUUCAUAAAAUGUGUAUAAUCACUUGAUACGUAUUAUUCAUUAAUAAAAUAAAGAAAUUGAUGUUGAUGCUUUUCCUCCUUAGUAUAACAUACAAGAUAAAACUCCGAAUAUCACAAUUGUUAACUUGAGUCCACUUGAAACCCAAAAUCAAUCCCAACCAAGAUGAUCAUAGGAUUCCAUAUGUUAGAAUAAUUAAUGGUUUUGAUACAACUUGCAGCUUUUGUGGCUACCUAUUUCCUCUUUUAAAGGCAAAACUUUGACAUAUAUUUUUUAUAGAAAUAGUUAAUUCAAAAGGUUAAUAAUUAAGAUAAAAUAUCAUUUUGAUAUUUUUAAAAUUCUUUUUAAUUAUUUUAAAAAUUAGUUAAAAAUUAUUAAAAUUUUAACCUAAUCCUUUAAACCGGAGCUUUUGGGUUUUACCCAAUUCUUUGAAACUUAAUCCUUUGAUGUUUUUCUUAUUCUUUUUAAUUCACAUCUGUAAUGCCAGACUGUUGUUUUAGCAUAUACCAAUGAUUAAAAUAUAAAAACAACUCAAAAUUAGAACAGUUAUUUUUAUAAUAAAAUUAUUAAAAUAUAAAAAAAACUCAAUAUUGAAUCAGUUUUUUUUCAAUUUAACAGAAAUUAUAAGAAAAAAAAGCUGGGUUUUAAUUAAGAGAACCCAAAACCCCAAUCUUUAAAUUCUCUGAUUUAAUCAAACUAGCAAAAGUUAAAAAAAAACGACAAUUAGACUACAAGGGAAAAAUCAAAAGAGACAAAAAAAUCUUUUCGUUCUUUUAAUGAUUUUUAUAAUUUUUAAUUAUUUUUAAGAUUUUUUAAAAGAUUUAUUGUUAAUUUUUUUGAAAAAUAUCAAAAUAAUAUUUUUAACUAUAAUUUAAUAAUUAAAUUAAUUGUUAAUCAUUUGAAUUAAGUAUCAUGUCAUUCACUUAACGGAAAUUAACGGACAAAUUAUUAAAAUGUAAUAUUUAAAUAACAUUAAUAAUCAUUUCGUACCCUCUAAAAGUUCAAUCAUUCAAUUAAAUAAAAUCGAAUAUUCAAUCGUUACACAUAUUACUUCUACUAGAGCCAUUGAAUAAACCAAAAACGGUUCUUAAUUUGUCUACAAAGUCAACACUCUAUCCUAUACACUCACAUGAAUAAAAUUCCAAUUCGGUCAGCCCCUUAAUUAUUAGAUUUAUUCAUGUUAUGCUAAUUAUUCAAUACCAUCCAAUUCAUGCAUUAAUUUGCCUUAAUUAUCCUAAAUUAACAUAGUUAGCAAUUAAUCAAGAGGGAAAACAGUUCAUUUGAGUACUACUACUUAAUAAUUUCCAUCCAAUAAUGAAAUCUAGCCCUUGAUAUAAUUACACUCAAAUCCCUCUUAACUUUUAUUACUUUUUAGUAGUCCCCACCAAUUCACAUUUGAAUCCCUCCACUUUAAGCAUUUAUUUACUAGAUAACCCCCACUUCAGUUUUCCUACUAUUUUCUCUUAAAUUACACCAUCUCAAUUUACUUAUUUCAGCAUAAAUAUUUAAGUUCACUGUUCAUCUCGAAAUUUACUAUUCGGAUGUCCGUGGUCUAAAUUUUGAGUAGUUUAAAUAUUAUAAAUUAAAAAAAAUCUGUAUAAAUUUUGAUAUUAAAUAAAUUGAUCCUCUAAAAAGAUCAAAUCGGUUUAAUCCUGACAAGUUUGAAAAUAAACACCUAAGACAAUUAAUCACACCGUAAUUAUUUUUCACAAUAUAUAUAAUUUUUUAUUAGUACAAUAACAAAUUUAACCCACAACAUUUAUAUAUUCUGUGAAUUCAAUUUUGAUGUAACAAAUUUAAUCCACAAAAUUUUCACAUUAUCAACAUUUAUUUAAAUUUAUUAUUAUACUAAUAAAAAUUAUAUAUAAUUGACCAAAAAGCAUCACUAUUAUAAUCAAUUAUCAUUAGUUGCUUUUUUAAAUCUACAAACCCCAAUUACUCCAAUUUUGAGAGAAAUUUAAAACCGACUGGAAUCACCAAAAACAAACGUGACUACCAAAAAUCCAGAGAAAACAUCCACCGUAGAUCAACUAUAUGCUAGGGAAUUAAUAUCAAAAAAGUUAUAUGGUAGAGAAGAUGUCGGUACCAUUUGUAUUUUUGUCUUCAAAAUCUUGAAAAAUAUUUUUGGGAAAUAUGUUUUCCUGAACUAAAAUAACUUGGAAAAUAUUUAGUGCAUUGGUAAUUUUUUAAAAUUAUUUUUGGAAUAAAAAAGUACAUGGUGAAUGUAUUAUAUACUAACCCAAAUAAAUUUUAGUUAAAAAUGAUGAUAAACUAAUUUUUAAUAAAAGUAAUAUUAAGUCCUAAACAAUUAAAUACAUCAAAAGUAACAUUUUUAUUGUAUAUAAAAGCGAAAAAAUAUAUACAAAACAUAAAUAAUAUGAAAAUAUAUUAUUUAAUUUUAAAAUUAACAACACUACUUAUCAGAUAUAUGUAUACAUUUGCAAAGCUUCCGAAAACAAAAAACCACAAUACAAAAACAAAAACAAUGAGUCAAAUGAUAACUAAACACCAAAGCAAACAGACAAGGCUUGGAAGAAAAAAAAAGAGAGUAAAUAUACUUUUUGGUUCUCUUCUGAAUUUAAUAUUUAAAUUGGUACCUGUUAAGGGGUCAGCUCCUUAGGGCAGCCAAUUCGAACUCUACAAUCGAUAGUAUCGUACUGAUAUUAAGGUUUUGUCCCCAACCUCCAAGGAGAGUCGUGUACAGUUCAGUAGGGGAGUACCUUAGUUGAUAGAAAUAGGUACUUGCAAAACUCGAAAAAAAUGUCAAUAUAAAGUGUGUAAAUAAUAAAGAAGGUACUUGGCCACCGCAAAAUUCAAGACACCAAGAUACCUCUAUUAUUAUUCACACACCCUAUACUCUCAUUUCUCCCAAAUCUUGCAACCAACUAAAUUACCCCUUUAAUGAAUCGUACAUUGCUCUCCACAAAAGCUAGGGAAAAAACCUCAAUACAAGGAUAAAACCAUCAGUUGUUGAGGGACCGGAUCAACUGCCCGACCAACCACACUUCAAAUACUUCCACUAAAAGAGCCAAUCCCCCAUCAAUAGUACUUUUUUUUUUCGGUUAAGACUAUACUCAAAUUUGAUUUCAUCACAUCGUUAAUCUUGAAUGACAUGGACCAAUCAGAUUUAAACACAUGGGACACAUCAUGUCAUCAACUGAUGUACCACGUGUAAUAAAUUGAUUGGACCACAUAAUCCAAUUUUAAAAGAGCUACAAAAAAUUGACUAAAACCUGUAAGAAAAGCCAAAUUCAAGUAACAAUUCGGACAAAUAUGUUACAUAUGUACCAAUUUGAACAUCGAAACCAAAUUCAGGUAUCAAAAAAUAUAUCUACCCAGAAAAAACGAAGCAUAAAAACAGUUAAACUAUGAAUCAGUGGGGCAAUCUGUUUAAAUUGCCUUUUCAUUGCAUAAAAAAGGUUUCAGCUUCAGCUAGAGUUCACUAAGCAAAAGGUAGAAGAAUAAUGAUAAAGAAAGGCAUUCAGAUUCAGUACUUACUUUAAAUGCUUCCAUCUCAGAGGGAGUUUUUUAACUGCAGUUGCAAGCAUAAAAAAGUCCAGGAAAGCGAAUAAGUCAAUGUAGAUAUUAGAUAGUACACAACACCACCUACACGAAAAGUCUCGUGAGCUGCAAUCGAAUAAAAGUCUUUUAAGAUCAACAUAUGAAAAGGAAAUAAGAUAUGGGGGAAGAACAUUAGAGAUUGCAUUCAACAAACAAACUUUGCCCUUGUUAAUUGUAUGCAAUUGUGUAAAAGUCAAGUUGAAGCUUCCCCUUCCAAGCGUACCCUCUUGGGACCUUUCUCUUCACCUUGACUGCCGGUGUUCAUCACUCUGUUUUCUUUGGCUUCCACAGAACACCUUUUGUAAGGUUUAAAUCCAGUUCGACCAGCUUUUAGUUUUGAAUGUCCUAAUCCAAUAGUCAGCAGGCCCUCUUCUGUAGUGUUCUUGUCUCUUGAUAAUGCAUUUUUCACAGUUUCUUGAUGAUCAGAACAAGAACCCAAUGUCUUGCUGUUGAGAUCUAAAGUUGAUAUUUCUUCAUCUUCCUCAGCUGGAUUUUGCUUGUCUUCACCUAUAUUUUCCUUUUGCUGCCCCUUGCUCUUGCCAUCAUGUGGAGGAGAAAAGCUUUGCGGGAGUACCUCUCGGGAGAAGAGGGCUUGAAAAGCUAGCCGCCCCUGGAUAAGUAGUGGAGCCAUACAGUGACAAUGGUACAAUACAAUUAGAAUAAUAAUUAAAGUUAAGCUAAUGGGAAAAUUGAGAUAUCGACUCACCUCUUCAGAUACCUCCUUCCAAGAAUCACUCAGGUUGCUAUUGCUUCUACUACUACGACGGCUACAUUCAACUUGUGGAUGAUUUGGGUCAGCUCCUUUUGAAUCUUCCUUGUCUUUUUCAUGUUUUUCUAACGCAUCUGUCUCUACCUCACUGCUUGAAGGAGUGUUGGAGCCACAUGAGGACCGGUCAACUUGUUUUUUGUUCUUUGUUUUAUUUGCAUCCUGAGGCUCAAUUACUUCAGCAGCCAUCUCAUCAUCGGUAGCUUUCACUCCAGUAUUCACUUUUGCAUCUCCUCUCUCUUCACAGUCCGACGAUGAUGAAGUAGGUGAUUUAGAUGAUGAAUGCUGACCUUGCAAAGCUUCAGAGUUUUCGGGGUCUAGUUGCUCAACCUGCAGAGAUAGAGCUUGAUCAGUUUUACCCUUUUGUUCUGUCUUGGCAGCUGGAGGUUGACCAUUCUCCAUUGGUGGAACUGCAGCAGUGGAUGCAGGAAAACAGGUAAAGCCUGUAUGCAGAGGAGCACAUACAGGAAACAGUCCAUGGGCGGCCCACCAUGCAGUUGCAGCUGCUACAGUUGCAGCAGCAAUUGCAGCCAUACUUGGAGCAGAGUUGAUUUGUCUAGAUGGGAAACCUCCUAAGCCGCAUGCAGGAGAAUCGCCUGAGCUUUCAAUAUUCGCAUAAGGCCAAAAUCUUGCUGCAAAGCUUGCUGCUGCAUGGGCAGCUGGAUUCUGUAACAAAGUAGAUACAAUGAGACUGGAAAAAGUGGAGGAGACAUGUAGAAAUGAUCGAUAGUCCUGUUGAUUUGGGCGAAGAUGCAUAAAGGGAGUGUGAAAAGGUGGCAGUGCCUGCUGAGUUGAUCUCGGAGCAUUAUUCUGAUGUUCAGUAGCUGCAGAUGCAGCUAGAUUUGCAGACAGGUUAGGUCCAUGAACAUCGCCCAUAGGGUGAAAUACAGAAUCCUGAAAUGACAUAUCCAGGGAAGCAUUUUGAGCACAUGUUCUCAGGCUUCCAUCUAGGACAUGCACAGAAACAUGUCGAGGAAAAUUUUGAGCGGCUUGCAUUUCAUCUGCACAUAAAGCACCAUCCAAAUCAUCUUUUCUCUGGACUUGAGCUGGUUUAUCAUAUGAAGUGCAAGAAUACUCCAGGUUUGAGG